GGGUUGUGAGGUUAAGCGACUAAGCGUACACGGUGGAUGCCCUGGCAGUCAGAGGCGAUGAAGGGCGUGCUAAUCUGCGAUAAGCGCCGGUAAGGUGAUAUGAACCGUUAUAACCGGCGAUACCCGAAUGGGGAAACCCAGUGUGAUUCGUCACACUAUCAUUAACUGAAUCCAUAGGUUAAUGAGGCGAACCGGGGGAACUGAAACAUCUAAGUACCCCGAGGAAAAGAAAUCAACCGAGAUUCCCCCAGUAGCGGCGAGCGAACGGGGAGGAGCCCAGAGCCUGAAUCAGCAUGUGUGUUAGUGGAAGCGUCUGGAAAGGCGCGCGAUACAGGGUGACAGCCCCGUACACAAAAGCGCAUGUGCUGUGAGCUCGAUGAGUAGGGCGGGACACGUGGUAUCCUGUCUGAAUAUGGGGGGACCAUCCUCCAAGGCUAAAUACUCCUGACUGACCGAUAGUGAACCAGUACCGUGAGGGAAAGGCGAAAAGAACCCCGGCGAGGGGAGUGAAAAAGAACCUGAAACCGUGUACGUACAAGCAGUGGGAGCCCCACCACUAAG
rnacentral:rRNA from 1 species